CCAACGAAAAGGAAACCUGUUUUCCUAACCUUGACUCUCCCAGCCGGCAACUGGCUUCCUGUUAUGUGUGUUUCUUCAUACGACACAGGCGUCUUUCAGUGUGCUCGUGAAACACUCUUGUUUCAUCGUCGCCCUCUUCUUGCAAAUUCCAAACGCAACGAAAACAGCAUCUUCCUCGUUCGCCCCACUGAGAACGCCGUCACCAAUUAGACGCCCUCCGGAAGUUUUCCUUUCGAUGUUGAUGUCUGUUCGUAAGCGGUGCUUGAGAGUGGGCGCAGAGGCCAAGCGAAUGCAUAGGAUUCCCUUUGUUCGACGCGAGCGCAGCGCGGCGCGCAGCGCCAGUCUUCUUUCUCUAACUGCGUAAAGAUAUCAGACGCUCAUGAAGUUUGGACAGACCCCUGGUGAGUGUAGGCGAUGCCGAAGAAUGCACUGGCUGUACUGAUCUUGUCCAGUCUGCUGCUCCUACUUGCGGUGCUUCUUUGCUCCAUUUGGUGCCUGUGCAGGCGAAGCGGGACGCCGCCCACCGUCCAGGCAGCUGCAGUAUCACAGGUCGUCAGCAGAGCUGUCUUAAGUGCCAUCACCUGAUGGCAUCUAUUGAGACAAUAUUCACUACACUGCGACAUGACUUCACAAGACGCCGUCAAGGAGUGGAUAUAGUACAAUGGUAGAAAUGAACGGGAUCUCAGUAUUAGCCAUCGGGUUGUUCGCCCUCUUCAUCCUGCUAUUCAUCGCCUGUUGUGUGUGCUACCCAAGACGUGGCCAUAAACGAACAAGUAGUUCCAAAGCCAGGAGUCUCAAUGGGAAACCACGUUACGCCAAACAGUUCGACAGAAGUUUGUCGUCUGGCAGCGGCCAUUUCUAUGCAGCCGACAUUUAUGAUCACAGUGACGUUAGUAUAAGCGUUGACAAUGAAGGCACUGAAUCAGUAAGUGAUUGUUGUUCGGGAAGCGGUGCUGAUCCAGGAGGUGGUGCCGGUGAUCCGGGUGAUAGCGGAGGAGGUGGCUGCGAUUCGGGCGGCCACUGCGAAGACUGAUACAGAGAUGUGACGACUAAAAGAAUUGUGUGUGCUACCGAUGUGCCGGAUACAGAUUCUGACCAAACACUUGUUGUAAUGGCAGAUGGAGCAGGUUCGGAAUUGCUUCCAUGAGUUUGAGAAGCUAGACACCCCUUCAAUAAGUGGGUAGUCAAGUGAAGUGUGCGAUCCAAAUAGAAAACAUCACGAUGCUUCGGGGAAUUCAAAAAUGUUUCAAGAACCAUCAGAGCUCCUGAUACCCAUCGAAAGUUGCCGUACGGUUAAGAACUUCUGGCAACAAAGACCAAUCACCUGCCACAGGCAUCAACAAUACUCUUCAUAACGUGUGACACAGACUACAUCUCGUGGAACUAUAAUGUUGUGCGCACAACUGGUACAAAGUGUAUAUUGACUGAUGUAGAAGGUGUCUCAUGGAACAAAAUAUUUUUUUUUUUACAAGUCGCUGAACGAAUGCACCAAAAGUUGACUAUUAAAUUUGGGACCGUCAGUAUGGGA